UCCUACGGGGGGCAGCAGUCGGGAAUAUUGGACAAUGGGCGCAAGCCUGAUCCAGCAAUACCGCGUGUGUGAAGAAGGCCUGCGGGUUGUAAAGCACUUUCAGUGGGGAAGAUAAUGACGUUACCCACAGAAGAAGCACCGGCUAACUCCGUGCCAGCAGCCGCGGUAAUACGGAGGGUGCAAGCGUUAAUCGGAAUUACUGGGCGUAAAGCGCACGUAGGCGGCCUUUUAAGUCAGAUGUGAAAUCCCCGGGCUUAACCUGGGAACUGCACCUGAUACUGGGAGGCUAGAAUGUGGGAGAGGAGAGUGGAAUUUCCGGUGUAGCGGUGAAAUGCAUAGAGAUCGGAAGGAACAUCAGUGGCGAAGGCGGCUCUCUGGACCAACAUUGACGCUGAGGUGCGAAAGCGUGGGUAGCAAACAGGAUUAGAUACCCCUGUAGUCCAA
rnacentral:rRNA from 1 species